GAUCAUCAGUCACGGAGAUCAGGUACUCAGGCAGCUGAAGCACCUGCCAGAGGCAAUGCUAACAUCAGCUGGAUGGCCAAGGAAACAAGGACAUGCAUGGAGACCAGCAUGGGUGGACACAGGCCCCUUACUUACCUCUGCGGAAAGGUGUUAUCCCAAAAUUACUGCUGGGAGAGGCCAAGCUGUCGCACUGAGGGCGAGUUGGGGUCUUUGUUAAUAUGUUUAUAAAAAUGUGAAGCCUGGGCGUUGCUGGAAAAGAAGAUACUGGUGUAUUUGAAAGUAAAAUAAGCAAACAUUUGCCUAGUGAGGGAGAAAAAUUAUGUCAGAAGUAAUAUAUGAUAAUGGAGAAAUUCCUCAAAAAUCAACUACAGUGAGGACAGCAAAGCCCUGGUGAGGUGAGCGAGCUGGUGGGUAGCAAAAACAACUGAGGGCAACUCUGCUGAGCAUUUCCCAUCAGUCAUUUUCUAGGGAGCUCCCUGCCACAGCUCUUGAGGAGAUGAUGGAUGGCUGGUCCCUGGCAAAGCUCUGCCAGCUCAGCUUGACUCACCAGGAAUGAGGAGGUUUGAAGGAACAGAGCGGGGUCCAGAGGGAAGGAGAGGAUUUCAAACACAGGGCUCAGGGCAUCACAGCCCUCAUUAGCACUGCCCCACAUGGUGCUUACCACAGGACUGGCAAGAGGAAAGGCUUUGCAUGUCCUCACACCUGCCUGUGCUGCCAGAGCACAGUUUGAGUAACAAACUCUCCAGACUCAGGGGACUGGGGUGGCAGUCCACCCUCUGCCCAAUGACUGCAGGCUCAGGAAUGGCUCUGCUGGGUGACCCUUCCAAUUCAGAGCCUCAAAAUCAGAAAAGCUUGCAAAUUGCUCUGAUCUUACCAGACAAAGGCGUUGCUCACUCCCGGAGUCCUUGGAUAUCCUACACAAAAAGGUAGGAAUUGGUGAGAAUUACCUGAGAUAAAAUAUCCCUUACAACAUCAAAGUUCCUGAUCCCUUAGCUGUCAGCUGCAGGUAUGUGAAAGUCCUGACAGGCUGAAGAUAGAAGGAAGAGAUAAAGCAAAAAAAGAAGGGAGGGGGACUGGAGAAAUUCUCUGCAUGAAACGUUAUAUCAUUGGAUUUGGCACAAAGAUGUCAGCUCAGGGGUCUGCACAGCCAGCUGGGGUGUGAGCAGGGCACUGGGCUUUCACCUUCUGAGAUGCAUCAACAGCAGCUGAUACCAGGGACAGAUCCUGAUCCUUGGCACACGGUGGAGAAAGAGGUGGACUUCAGUAGUCUGUGUGAGUCCCUUCUAACUCAGGAUAUUCUAUGAUAAAUGAAGCAGGAGUGACAGAGAUCAGGAUAAAUCAUGAUCAUGAUCCCCCACAUUUUCCCUAUCCCUGUACACUCAGCUGUUGGCUGUCUUUUGCCAGUAAAAUGGGUGAAGUGGGUCAGUUACCAGGGGAAUCACUGCUGUAGCACAGGACAUCAUCCUUUUGCCAUCUUUGCCCUGCACAUUUUAUAAUAAUUGACCUCCCUGAGUUGUCACAGGAGCAUGGCAGGAGAGCUGGGGUCAGACUCCACCUGGUGCUGCCCAGCCUGCAGCACUGACCUCCCUGCAAAGUCCAGCUCGUUGGCAGCAAAGCCACAGGUAGGCCUGAAAAACAGAUUUUCACAAAAAC
ensembl:lncRNA